GGCUGGCUUUCCUAUCAGGGCAGCUCACAUGCAUCCAAAUCCCAGAUUAAACACCCCCCAUCUCUCUUUCCAACCAGCAGCACUCCUACAAGUCCCUGCCCCCUCUCUUCCUCCUUGUGUAACUGUACUGAGCGUGGAUUACCAAACUCUGAAGCAAAGCAGGGGCUCUGACAGCCUCCGAACAGAAUGGUGGUUUCAUCCCAACAUCACUGGGAUCGAGGCAGAACACCUGCUCCUGACACGGGGCGUCCAUGGCAGCUUUCUAGCGAGACCCAGCAAGAGCAAUCCAGGAGACUUCACUCUCUCUGUCAGGAGGAACGAUGAGGUCACCCAUAUUAAAAUCCAGAACUCAGGGGACUAUUAUGACCUGUACGGAGGGGAGAAGUUCGCCACGCUGGCUGAAUUGGUCCAGUACUACACCGAGCAACACGACCUCCUUCGGGAACGCAAUGGAGAUGUUAUCGAGCUGAAAUACCCCCUCAACUGCAAAGACCCCACGUCUGAGAGGUGGUAUCAUGGACAUCUCUCAGGGAGAGAUGCUGAAAAGCUCCUGACGGAGAAAGGUAAAUCCGGCAGCUUCCUGGUGAGAGAAAGCCAAAGUAAACCAGGAGACUUUGUGCUUUCUGUCCUCACUAAUGAAGAAAAGCAUGAAAAUUUAGACCGCAAGACUAAAGUUACCCAUGUCAUGAUCCGUUAUCAGGAUGGAAAAUAUGAUGUAGGAGGAGGGGAGAGGUUUGACACUUUGGCAGAUUUAGUAGAGCAUUAUAAGAAAAACCCCAUGGUCGAGAAGAGUGGAAUUGUUGUACACCUUAAACAGCCUUUCAAUGCCACAAGGAUAAAUGCAGCAAACAUUGAAAACAGGGUACGAGAAUUAAAUAAAGUGGCGGACAACUCAGAGAAACCCAAGCAAGGCUUCUGGGAAGAAUUUGAGGUUUUACAGCAGCAAGAAUGUAAACUCCUUUACCCCAGGAAAGAGGGGCAGAGACCAGAAAAUAAAAACAAGAACAGAUAUAAGAACAUUCUACCAUUUGACACCACUCGAGUGCAAAUCAAGGAGGCGGAUGCUGACGUGCCAGGCUCCGAUUACAUCAAUGCUAACUAUAUCCGAAGCAUGAAUGAAGAAGGUCGCCAUAUGGAUGAAGGUAAAGUGUUCAUCGCCACUCAGGGUUGCCUUCAGAACACCGUCCUAGACUUCUGGAAAAUGGUGUACCAGGAAAACACUCAUGUUAUUGUGAUGACAACCAAGGAGAUGGAGAGAGGACGGAAUAAGUGUGUGCGGUACUGGCCGGACUUAAAUUCAACAAAGGAGUUUGGGAAGGUGUGUGUGAAGAACAUUGAGGAACACACAGCUCAGGACUACAUACGGCGAGAGCUUGAAGUCACGCGUCUAGACAGGAGAGAGUCUCCGAGGUGUAUCUGGCACUAUCAGUACCUGAGCUGGCCCGAUCACGGUGUUCCCAAUGAACCUGGAGGAGUCUUGAGCUUCCUGGAGCAAGUCAACAGAACCCAGAGCGCUAUUCCAGAGAGUGGACCGAUAGUUGUUCACUGCAGUGCAGGGAUUGGAAGAACAGGCACAAUUAUUGUGAUUGACAUCCUUAUCGACAUCAUAAACAGACAAGGGUUGGAUUGUGACAUCGACAUCCCAAAGACCAUCCAGAGAGUCCGCCAGCAACGAUCCGGGAUGGUUCAGACCGAGGCCCAGUACAAGUUCAUCUACAUGGCUGUUCAGCAAUACAUUGACACGGCUCAGAAGAGACUGGAAGAGGAGCAGAGGAAUAAAACAAAGGAGAGAGAGUACUCUAACAUCAAGUACCCACAGAUGUCAAAUGCCAGAGCCAAGCCGAACAUGAGCUCGUCUCGCUCUUCAUCUGUGUUAACUCUACUAUCUCCUACACUUCCUCAAUUCUAAAGAAUGAACGAUGACUCUGGUGUUUAUGAGAAUUUGAACAUCAAAAAUCCAAAGGGCUCCACCAGCAGCAAUACCAGGAGAUAAGCCGUGUGGGCUGCUUUCUCAGGGACUCUGGGAUUCCAGCAGAGGUACUGUGUAGAAGCACCUGAUUACAGCACUGGGGAGUGGGGGGGCACCAGCAGCACCUACGCUGAGACGAAGCCCCCAGCCGCUCAGCUAGAGAAUCCACCGAAAUCUCCAACAGCUCUCUUCAUUUCCUGACUGACUACGUCUGAGAAACUCACACUCCAAAACCAAGUGCCUCGACAGCAGCCGAAAUUGUUCCCGCAAAGGACGUGUGACUUGGUGCUUUCUCCCCACUUCUAGUCUAACAAGCCUCUCUACACUGCACUAAGCUACAUGAUGGUUUGUACAUGUGUGAAAUAUAUAUGAAAUAUGAAUAUUUACACUCAGUGACGUAACUUUGGAUGAAGCUGCGCUCUUUCCAUGCUGUCUAUGGCUGUUUCCAGACCUUGCUUUGUCUACUGGAUGUCGUCUACUGUAACCAAAGACCUUUGAUAUGUAUCUCACAAGCAGUGGUUAUUUGCGCUCUGCUGAGUGAUGCUCGUGGCACGGUGUUAUAAGAAGAAGAAAGUUACACCGUCCUGCCUCAAGGAUCCCCUCUUUUCUUUUCAGAGCACAUGGGAGGUGAUUGGUCAAAGUUCGACCAAUGAUUUGGAUACCUUAUGUAAGUAGGUGUUUUAAAUGGGCUGUUUUGGUACAGUGUGGUAGAAUCUAUACAGUAUGUGCCAAUUAGCAGCCUGUGCAUCAUAUUCAUAAGAGCUUCUGCUUUGAUGCUUUUUUUUAUUGAGCAUUGCCUCCAGGCAAAUGAACUGUUGGAGGAAGUCAAGUGCUACUGUCAAUCAAAGGCUUAUCAACCAAUCAGGCUGCCUCUUCAUCAGCGGGCUCCUCCCUUGUAUGGCUAUAGGCUUUAUUGUUCUGAAAGCAUCAGGUUAGCCUUUAUAAGAUAGGGUUUUGUUUGUUUGUUACUAGUCGUUUUGUUUCCAACUAUGAUUCCUUUAGUGCUAUUUUAUCGUGGGAUAUUUGUGAAUGUGUUUAUGAAAUCUAGGCCUGGCAUUUUUUUGGUAUAAUGCAUUUUUGACUAUAUUAUUCCACAUUUUUCACCUAAAAGACACAUUAAGCUCUUUUAUCACAUAUAAACAGGGUAUGUGUUUAUUGCUGUGUUAUAAAUAGCCCGAUAAAGCUCUUUACGUCAAUAGCGGGUUGUGAUUGCACCGAGGCCUUCGAAUGAAAAACGUCAAUUGAAAAACUUGGUGUUAUUGAACAUCUACAAUGGAAGGGAUACGUCAGGAUGUCGAGCGAGCUGUGGACAUGAGUGGCAUUUCGCUGGAGACUUUAGCUAAAACGGAGACAGGCCAGAUGGCCCACUGCUAAGAUUAAAGAAAUAGAUUUGUUUAGGGCGAAAAAAGUAAUUUAAAACAUGGCCGUAAUCCACACAUAGCUAUUAUUAGGUGAGGUCAGCAGUGAUGUCAUAAGACGUUAUACGUACACUACCAGGUCAGAAAGGGUUUAUUUUUUGGUUAAGAAAUUAAUACUUUUAUUCACCAGGGUUGCAUUCAUUUAUCAAAAGUGAUACUAAGAUGUUUAUUUGAAAAGUUUUCUAUUUUAAAUGCUGUUAUGCUGAAAAAUUAAGGAGCACAAACUUUUUUAACAUUAUGUGAUGAUUAAAAAAUUUCUUGAGCAGCCUGGAAUGUUUUCUGAAGCAUCAUGUGAUACUGAAGACUGAAGUAAUGGCUGCUGUGCAAUUACAUGAAGGAGGUCAUAUAUGCAGCCUACAGUAUGUCUGGUCAAAUAUUCAGCCUUGGUGAAAAAGCGUAAAAAAAUCUUACAGACCGAAAACAUAAAAGUAGUGUACAUCUUGGCUUAGAUAAAGCAGGGCAUAAUGUACAGUAUGUGAUUAAUCAGCCUCUGACUGUGAAUUUGGUGUUAGUUUCGGCCACAUGAGGGGAUCUGUGAUGUCACGAUCUGAAGGGCUACCGUACAUGUUCAGAGGGAGGCCUGGGUCUGCUUUUUUUGCACUUGAAUGGAUGAGAUGUUUGGGUUUUAUACUAGAGAACCAGUUUGCCAGACCGUCCAUGAAGUAAAAGCUAUGUCACUGCAUAUGAUAAUCAUUGUCCUUGGAAUGACUGACUGGCUGAUUGAAUGAAUUUGGGAUUUAUGUACCUGAUCAUGUGACAUUAAUGUACUACUGGCAUCUGAAAGCUGUUUGUCUGCUGUUUAAAUUGGUUUUAUUUUUACCUCUGUAAAAAUAGGUCAAAAAUCGAAUGGCAUAUUAAGACUUGAAAUUCAAUUUGAACUGCUGCAAGGUAUAGUGUCUAUGGCUGUCAGAAUGUCCUUUUGUUUGGAGGUAUAUAUAUAAUGGAUAUUUUUUGUUGAUUUGCCAUCAGUGUGGUGUUUUGCGUUAUAGAUCAGUUAUUUCUUUUUUUUUUUUUUAUUGGGUCAGUUGUUGAUUUGUUGCAAACUGUACAUUUCAUUUGUUCGUUAAUACAUUGAUGGAAAUAUUCACAGCCGUUUAGCAUUUGACGAUGUUAAAAUGUUUUAUUAUUAUUAUUACUUCUACUAUUAUACAAAAUAUCAACAGUUAUAAAGCUAUCUGCUUGCAUUAUCACAGUUUUCAAGUCUUCUUUUUAAAUUUACUUGAAUACUGUAUUGAUGGGCUUUUAUAAUCUCAGUUGGUGAUCAGUCGGUUUGAUCUGAGUUGUGUCGUGCUGAUUGUCCUUGUGUGAUAAAGACUGUGUUCCCUAUU